GGAUUUCGCGUUUAAAAAAGUUUGCCAGUACAGGAAUUUGGCCAUCAAAUGAGGGUAACAGGCCAGCUCCUCGACAGAAAAAGUGGUACGAGAUUUAUCAAAGGGUGAGUGAGUGUUUGUUACCUUUGCAUGAUAGAGAGAUAAUAAUAAAAAAAAGACUUAAGUGUUUGUUGACUUGCAUAAUCGAACAUUAUUACUAUCUUUGUUUAAUGUAUUUGCAUAAGAGAACAACACAUUAGGCUUCAGUACAAACAUUUACCUGGUCCCAUUCAUUAGAACGAUGUAAUGGGAUGGUUGUGUUAUGUUAUGGCUUACACCAAUGUAAACCAGAGUAUGUCAUAAUUGUUUAUAGACAUUUAUGUAAUGUUGCAGGUAUUUUGAGAUUCAUGUCAUACUGUAAAUGAAAAGCUACAUCAAAGGUCUUUGUGUACUGGGAGAUUCAGAGAUUAGAGAAGGUGGGGGAAGGGACGGUGAAUGAAUAGGUGGUCUGAAGGUGUGAAAUGUUCCUCUCUUGUAUCUCUCACCUUUAAAGAGAGAUACCAGCUGUAACAUUAUACAUAAGAUAAAUGUGUCUUGUGUCCUAGAAAUUAAUCAAUGAAUUAAAUAAUAUAUGAAUUUAAUGAAGUAUUUUAUGCUCUCUUAAGGGACUCACUUGUAUUGUGCAUUACAUUUGUUAUAAUACUUACAGAUUGAGAAAUGUCCGAUGCUGUCUCGUGGCCAAACAACCUUGCUUGGAGGUGUGCUGAAAUGCAUCUGUGGUUUUCACAUUCCAAAGGUAACAUUAAUGUAGCAAGUAUUUUUUGUUAGUAUUGUUUACUGAAAUGGUUUUCUUUCUGAAUUGUUAUAUGUAUGUUUUUUUUUUUUUUUUUUUAUUAGCAGCCCACUGCCUCUACUGGACCAGCACAAAGGGUGGUGGAACAACCUGCUGCUGCUGAAACAGCAAAGAAGGCCAUGGAGCGGAGUCAGCCUGACCCCCAGCCUCAUCCCCUGCCCCAGCCCCAGCCUACUGCACCAGUGGAAGCAAGAGUUGCACCACAAUUUUCAACGUUUACCAAGCCAAGAUUUACUGGCUCUCACCUUGCUGCAGCAAAGCCAAAUCUUAGUUUGGCCAGGAGACCUUCUCAGGUUGAAGACCAGCCCAGCGCAGCAGUGUCUAGUGGCUCUAUACCAAGCACCACUGCCUCUACACCAGAUCCUCAAGUUCCAUGCCCUGUCCCCAGAGCCACUGCAGAUGUGUCCAGUCCCGCUCAGCCAUGCAAUAUUGUCUCAGUAAGUAACUUCCUAUUCUGUUGGUCCUUCAAAAAUGUAAUUAAAUCAGCUGUUGCCAGACACUUAAUGGAGAUGUGAAAAGGCUUACAUGGCCUUUAAACUAAAUAAC
ensembl:lncRNA